rnacentral:rRNA from 1 species
UACAGAGGUCUCAAGCGUUGUUCGGAUUCAUUGGGCGUAAAGGGUGCGUAGGUGGCCAACUAAGUCAGACGUGAAAUCCCUCAGCUUAACUGGGGAACUGCGUCUGAUACUGGAUGGCUUGAGUUUGGGAGAGGGAUGCGGAAUUCCAGGUGUAGCGGUGAAAUGCGUAGAUAUCUGGAGGAACACCGGUGGCGAAGGCGGCAUCCUGGACCAAUACUGACACUGAGGAGCGAAAGCCAGGGGAGCAAACGGG